rnacentral:rRNA from 1 species
UACGUAGGGUGCAAGCGUUAAUCGGAAUUACUGGGCGUAAAGCGUGCACAGGCGGUUUUGUAAGUCAGAUGUGAAAUCCCCGGGCUUAACCUGGGAACUGCGUUUGAAACUACAAGGCUAGAGUGUAGCAGAGGGGGGUGGAAUUCCACGUGUAGCAGUGAAAUGCGUAGAGAUGUGGAGGAACACCGAUGGCGAAGGCAGCCCCCUGGGUUAACACUGACGCUCAGGCACGAAAGCGUGGGGAGCAAACAGG